AUACGGAGGGUCCAAGCGUUAUCCGGAAUCAUUGGGUUUAAAGGGUCCGCAGGCGGUCAAUUAAGUCAGAGGUGAAAGCCCAUCGCUCAACGAUGGAACUGCCUUUGAUACUGGUUGACUUGAGUUAUACGGAAGUAGAUGGAAUAAGUAGUGUAGCGGUGAAAUGCAUAGAUAUUACUUAGAAUACCGAUUGCGAAGGCAGUCUACUACGUAUAUACUGACGCUGAGGGACGAAAGCGUGGGGAGCGAACAGGAUUAGAAACCCUAGUAGUCC
rnacentral:rRNA from 1 species